CCUACGGGCGGCUGCAGUGGGGAAUAUUGGACAAUGGGGGGAACCCUGAUCCAGCCAUGCCGCGUGUGUGAAGAAGGCCCUCGGGUUGUAAAGCACUUUCAGUGAGGAAGAACGCCUGGUGGUUAAUACCCAUCAGGAAAGACAUCACUCACAGAAGAAGCACCGGCUAACUCCGUGCCAGCAGCCGCGGUAAUACGGAGGGUGCGAGCGUUAAUCGGAAUUACUGGGCGUAAAGCGCGCGUAGGUGGCUUGAUAAGCCGGUUGUGAAAGCCCCGGGCUCAACCUGGGAACGGCAUCUGGAACUGUCAAGCUAGAGUGCAGGAGAGGAAGGUAGAAUUCCCGGUGUAGCGGUGAAAUGCGUAGAGAUCGGGAGGAAUACCAGUGGCGAAGGCGGCCUUCUGGACUGACACUGACACUGAGGUGCGAAAGCGUGGGUAGCAAACAGGAUUAGAUACCCUUGUAGUC
rnacentral:rRNA from 1 species